rnacentral:lncRNA from 1 species
UGUAUCAAACUCAGAAGCAUGCACUCGUGACAUAGACUGUUUGGGCCAGUGUAAACAUGGUGGUUUUUGUGACUUGACAACUAAAAAAUGUAGUUGCCUGCCGGUGUCGGGGCAUCUACCAUCUAACAUUGCAGCAACAGUGGACGCUAUGCAGCGAUGACGAAAACUGCAAAGGACUGCCCACCAGCUUGUUAAGCCCAUAACAUUCAAGGUGGCAUUUGUGUCUGCAAACGUUGUGCCUGAAGAAAAAAGAAUCCGAACAAAAAAACUCUAAAUUUAAGCCUUUCGACAAUGCCAUAUAUUUUAAGAUAAACUUUGUAUCCAAAAAAUUGGCAAAUAAAUUAUUAGUGAAUAAAAAGGUUGUCAAAGAGAACUUAUUUACUUAUGUUAUACUUCGUUCAAGUAUCGUAACUUCAUAUAUUUUCAAUUGAACAUGCAUGGUUCUAAUUUUCGAUCCAUCGAAUUUAUAUGUUGUCAAUGCAAUCCUUUAAUUACUGGAUUUAACGACUACUGUUAUAAUAUCAUGCCAGCUAGUCAUUUCCACAUAAUUCGCACAAAAAGAGGCUUGAUUUAAUUAAUGGAUUUAACGACUACUGCUUGGGUUAAGAUAGAGAUAUCAAAAGUCAAAAAAUGAUCUAAUUGGAGAAUAGGAACUAAACCUACAACUUACCGAUACUAUGAGAUUGAUAACAUAAUUUAAUCUACCCUACAGUUUAUUUGGGCACUAGGAUUUCAAAUUUUAAAAAUUAGAUACAAUAAUCGUGGGGGGAGAUGUAGAGGGACAAGGGACGGGUAAAUUUUUAUUUUUUAUCAUAACAUAUUUAUUUACUUUAAUAUUAAUAUAAAAUUAUUUUUAAUUAAAUUUUAAUGGGGUGUUGACUUUAGCAAUCCCAUUAGUUAAAACUUUAUUUCAAUGGCACUAACUACGGGUACCAACUCCAGUAACAGAAUCAAAGUUUAGGUAUUCGGAUUGGUCAAAAAAUAGUUUCAAUACCUAUGUCAAACAAAGCAAACAGUUCAAGGGCCUCCUAUUCAAUUAAGCCUUUAAUAAAAUCUCAAAUUGAAGAGAAGGAUGUUGGUAAAUGUGCUCGUAUUAUAGUAAACAUUUACCUAUUUUCUAUGCAUUUGAACGAGGAAUAAAUAAAUAAAGUUAAUAUCACAUUUCACUUUUAUAUCUUGUGUUUCUGUCUUCCAUGUUUUACAUACGUAUCGAAAUUGUAACAAGCAAAUGUUAGCUCAUUGAUUGUCUAAGUUGAAACUGANNNNNNNNNNNNNNNNNNNNNNNNNNNNNNNNNNNNNNNNNNNNNNNNNNNNNNNNNNNNNNNNNNNNNNNNNNNNNNNNNNNNNNNNNNNNNNNNNNNNGAUAAGUGUGGCACUACAAGAAUGUUUACAUUUCCAGAAAGACAAUUUACUUCUAUUGAUAAUCUAAACGAGUCAGUAAUCCCGUAAAAGAAUCAAAGUGAGCAUUUGAUUCAAAUACUCAGAAGCAUUAUUAUGUCGUCUACAAUUCUAGUUAGGGAGAUGAUUAGUGUUGGCUGUCCGAGCAGUUGAAUCCACGGGUAGAGACAUAAAUUUAUUGCUUGGAAGAAUGAGACAUUAGACUGAACCUAAGAUGGAUCAAUUCACUUGUGACGUUCAUGGUGUGACUUACCUAAAUCCUGAGUUAGUCACUGACCAUGCGUAUGUAACUCAUGUGCUUUGAUAUUAGUGUACGCUUAUGCUCUUAACAUGACCGAGUCGAUAGCCAAUAUAUUGGGUACAUGACUUGCGUUUGGCAUUGCUUUACUAGCAACAAUGAAAUCCAUACCUCGACUAAGAGUUAACGAUAUCUUUUAUUGAUAUUGUUUGGAUUGAUAAAAUUGGAUUUGGCCACGGGGUUUCUUGUUUUCGAACGGGUAAUUUGUCACAGUCAUUAGUUGACAUUGAUCAUUUUAACAACUAAGAAGACACAAUGAUGACGAUAAGAUAAAAUAUGAUUUUAUCGAGUGAAUAAAUCUAACUCAAAGGACUCAAUGAUAUCAUAUGAGAUCAUUAGACAAUGUAGUUGGAUGAAUUACUUUCAUAAAGAGUAAACAAUAAGUAGUUUUCAAUCGUGGUACUACAUGUGGACUGACUUCAAGAUUAAGUAAAUUGUGAAUUAUAUGAACGAAGCUUCUGGACGUAAUUGCAUUUACUCGAGCCUAAUUGUAUAUGUCCAAUUCGUCCCUCUGGUAGCUCAACAAAAGCUCAAACGGACUGCAUUUAAAUCAAAAGAAAAUUCUAUGACUUUUGAAAUAAUUUAAUUGAGUCGAUUUAUUCAGGAUAACUAUUGUGCCACCUUUAUUAGAAACACAUUGAGUUGGACUUACUCUCUCACUAUCGAAGAUAACAUACACAAUACAAACAUCCAACCAUUUAGUGAUUUCUUUUUUCACUACCUCCUCCAUAGUUGGGUUUAACUGACAUUACGCAUCAACAAUUGGCUUUUUACCUUAUUCCAGCAAAAGUUAUAAAAAUAUAAAUUAUCAAAACAAAAAACGAUCUAAUUAGAGAAUAUGAACUAAAUCCACAACUAACACAUAGUACGAGACUAAUAGCAUAAUUUAAUCUAACAAAUUUGACUUCUAUUGUUUAUGCGAGUACUAGAAUUUCAAAUUAAAAAGGUAGAAUAAUUAAAUUUGAUCAGAUAAAACUAAAAGGACUAAAUCCACAACUAAUGUAUGGUAAAAAGAUUAAUAAAAAAAGUCAAUCGUAUGAAUUAGGGUUUGUUUUUUAAGUUUACGAGCACAAUUACUAAGGUGUGGAUAAAAAUAAUAGCCAAUUAUUUGCAAUUUUUUAUUACCUUCAAGUUCUUGUAUAAAAAUAUUAUUUUCAAUUAAUUAUCAAAAAAAGGAAAAUGUUAAUAUAUGGUAAGUAAAUCUAAAUUAAUUGUGCUAUUAUUAUCUUGCCAUCGGUGACGUAUAAAGCAUAGUGCAAAAUCUCCUAUAUGAUUUUUCUCUUCCUACAAAAUUCGCAAGUAUAUCUUCACCUACCAAGUCAUAACUUUACUGCAAUAUUAGGUUAAAGAAAUUCCAAGAAAUUCAACUAUAAAUGGCCAAAUGCAUGUCAUUUUUUCUAUCAUCAGCUUGUUAUCAUAUAACUAACUCUUUGUUUCAUCUCUCAAUAGCUUUCAUUUUAAACUAUGGCUUCUUUCGGCGUGGUUUCUCUUUUUGCGGUUUUGCUUGUGGCUUCUUGUUAGUAUCUAAAAUAUUUAUCCAGUUCGAUAUUUAAUUAUUACAUACAUAUAUAUACAAGUAACUUUUUUAGUAUAAAAGCGAUUGCAGUAUUAAAAUAAGGGAGGGGUUGCAAUCGUUGCGAUUCAAAUCCUAUGUGUCUUAAACUAAUUAUAUAUAAUAGCUAAUAUAAAAUAACUAACAAAAUUUUUAAAUGAUGAAAAAUUUGUUGUUUAAUUUGCAGGUGUAUCAAACUCAGAAGCAUGCACUCGUGACAUAGACUGUUUGGGCCAGUGUAAACAUGGUGGUUUUUGUGACUUGACAACUAAAAAAUGUAGUUGCUUGCCGGUGUCGGGGCAUCUACCAUCUAACAUUGCAGCAACAGUGGACGCUAUGCAGCGAUGACGAAAACUGCAAAGGAUUGCCCACCAGCUUGUUAAGCCCAUAACAUUCAAGGUGGCAUUUGUGUCUGCAAACGUUGUGCCUGAAGAAAAAAGAAUCCGAACAAAAAAACUCUAAAUUUAAGCCUUUCGACAAUGCCAUAUAUUUUAAGAUAAACUUUGUAUCCAAAAAAUUGGCAAAUAAAUUAUUAGUGAACAAAAAGGUUGUCAAAGAGAACUUAUUUACUUAUGUUAUACUUCGUUCAAGUAUCGUAACUUCAUAUAUUUUCAAUUGAACAUGCAUGGUUCUAAUUUUCGAUCCAUCGAAUUUAUAUACUGUCAAUGCAAUCCUUUAAUUACUGGAUUUAACGACUACUGUUAUAAUAUCAUGCCAGCUAGUCAUUUCCACAUAAUUCGCACAAAAAGAGGCUUGAUUUAAUUAAUGGAUUUAACGACUACUGCUUGGGUUAAGAUAGAGAUAUCAAAAGUCAAAAAAUGAUCUAAUUGGAGAAUAGGAACUAAACCUACAACUUACCGAUACUAUGAGAUUGAUAACAUAAUUUAAUCUACCCUACAGUUUAUUUGGGCACUAGGAUUUCAAAUUUUAAAAAUUAGAUACAAUAAUCGUGGGGGGAGAUGUAGAGGGACAAGGGACGGGUAAAUUUUUAUUUUUUAUCAUAACAUAUUUAUUUACUUUAAUAUUAAUAUAAAAUUAUUUUUAAUUAAAUUUUAAUGGGGUUUUGACUUUAGCAAUCCCAUUAGUUAAAACUUUAUUUCAAUGGCACUAACUACGGGUACCAACUCCAGUAACAGAAUCAAAGUUUAGGUAUUCGGAUUGGUCAAAAAAUAGUUUCAGUACCUAUGUCAAACAAAGCAAAUAGUUCAAGGGCCUCCUAUUCAAUUAAGCCUUUAAUAAAAUCUCAAAUUAAAGAGAAGGAUGUUGGUAAAUGUGCUCGUAUUGUAGUAAACAUUUACCUAUUUUCUAUGCAUUUGAACGAUGAAUAAAUAAAUAAAGUUAAUGUCACAUUUCACUUUUACAUCUUGUGUUUCUGUCUUCCAUGUUUUACUUAUGUGUCGAAAUUGUAACAAGCAAAUGUUAGCUCAUUGAGUGUCUAAGUUGAAACUGAUGAUGUGGCACUACAAGAAUGUUUACAUUUCCAGAAAGACAAUUUACUUCUAUUGAUAAUCUAAACGAGUCAGUAAUCCCGUAAAAGAAUCAAAGUGAGCAUUUGAUUCAAAUACUCAGAAGCAUUAUUAUGUCGUCUACAAUUCUAGUUAGGGAGAUGAUUAGUGUUGGCUGCCCGAGCAGUUGAAUCCACGGGUAGAGACAUAAAUUUAUUGCUUGGAAGAAUGAGACAUUAGACUGAACCUAAGAUGGAUCAAUUCACUUGUGACGUUCAUGGUGUGACUUACCUAAAUCCUGAGUUAGUCACUGACCAUGCGUAUGUAACUCAUGUGCUUUGAUAUUAGUGUACGCUUAUGCUCUUAACAUGACCGAGUCGAUAGCCAAUAUAUUGGGUACAUGACUUGCGUUUGGCAUUGCUUUACUAGCAACAAUGAAAUCCAUACCUCGACUAAGAGUUAACGAUAUCUUUUAUUGAUAUUGUUUGGAUUGAUAAAAUUGGAUUUGGCCACGGGGUUUCUUGUUUUCGAACGGGUAAUUUGUCACAGUCAUUAGUUGACAUUGAUCAUUUUAACAACUAAGAAGACACAAUGAUGACGAUAAGAUAAAAUAUGAUUUUAUCGAGUGAAUAAAUCUAACUCAAAGGACUCAAUGAUAUCAUAUGAGAUCAUUAGACAAUGUAGUUGGAUGAAUUACUUUCAUAAAGAGUAAACAAUAAGUAGUUUUCAAUCGUGGUACUACAUGUGGACUGACUUCAAGAUUAAGUAAAUUGUGAAUUAUAUGAACGAAGCUUCUGGACGUAAUUGCAUUUACUCGAGCCUAAUUGUAUAUGUCCAAUUCGUCCCUCUGGUAGCUCAACAAAAGCUCAAACGGACUGCAUUUAAAUCAAAAGAAAAUUCUAUGACUUUUGAAAUAAUUUAAUUGAGUCGAUUUAUUCAGGAUAACUAUUGUGCCACCUUUAUUAGAAACACAUUGAGUUGGACUUACUCUCUCACUAUCGAAGAUAACAUACACAAUACAAACAUCCAACCAUUUAGUGAUUUCUUUUUUCACUACCUCCUCCAUAGUUGGGUUUAACUGACAUUACGCAUCAACAAUUGGCUUUUUACCUUAUUCCAGCAAAAGUUAUAAAAAUAUAAAUUAUAAAAACAAAAAACGAUCUAAUUAGAGAAUAUGAACUAAAUCCACAACUAACACAUAGUACGAGACUAAUAGCAUAAUUUAAUCUAACAAAUUUGACUUCUAUUGUUUAUGCAAGUACUAGAAUUUCAAAUUAAAAAGGUAGAAUAAUUAAAUUUGAUCAGAUAAAACUAAAAGGACUAAAUCCACAACUAAUGUAUGGUAAAAAGAUUAAUAAAAAAAGUCAAUCGUAUGAAUUAGGGUUUGUUUUUUAAGUUUACGAGCACAAUUACUAAGGUGUGGAUAAAAAUAAUAGCCAAUUAUUUGCAAUUUUUUAUUACCUUCAAGUUCUUGUAUAAAAAUAUUAUUUUCAAUUAAUUAUCAAAAAAAGGAAAAUGUUAAUAUAUGGUAAGUAAAUCUAAAUUAAUUGUGCUAUUAUUAUCUUGCCAUCGGUGACGUAUAAAGCAUAGUGCAAAAUCUCCUAUAUGAUUUUUCUCUUCCUACAAAAUUCGCAAGUAUAUCUUCACCUACCAAGUCAUAACUUUACUGCAAUAUUAGGUUAAAGAAAUUCCAAGAAAUUCAACUAUAAAUGGCCAAAUGCAUGUCAUUUUUUCUAUCAUCAGCUUGUUAUCAUAUAACUAACUCUUUGUUUCAUCUCUCAAUAGCUUUCAUUUUAAACUAUGGCUUCUUUCGGCGUGGUUUCUCUUUUUGCGGUUUUGCUUGUGGCUUCUUGUUAGUAUCUAAAAUAUUUAUCCAGUUCGAUAUUUAAUUAUUACAUACAUAUAUAUACAAGUAACUUUUUUAGUAUAAAAGCGAUUGCAGUAUUAAAAUAAGGGAGGGGUUGCAAUCGUUGCGAUUCAAAUCCUAUGUGUCUUAAACUAAUUAUAUAUAAUAGCUAAUAUAAAAUAACUAACAAAAUUUUUAAAUGAUGAAAAAUUUGUUGUUUAAUUUGCAGGUGUAUCAAACUCAGAAGCAUGCACUCGUGACAUAGACUGUUUGGGCCAGUGUAAACAUGGUGGUUUUUGUGACUUGACAACUAAAAAAUGUAGUUGCUUGCCGGUGUCGGGGCAUCUACCAUCUAACAUUGCAGCAACAGUGGACGCUAUGCAGCGAUGACGAAAACUGCAAAGGAUUGCCCACCAGCUUGUUAAGCCCAUAACAUUCAAGGUGGCAUUUGUGUCUGCAAACGUUGUGCCUGAAGAAAAAAGAAUCCGAACAAAAAAACUCUAAAUUUAAGCCUUUCGACAAUGCCAUAUAUUUUAAGAUAAACUUUGUAUCCAAAAAAUUGGCAAAUAAAUUAUUAGUGAACAAAAAGGUUGUCAAAGAGAACUUAUUUACUUAUGUUAUACUUCGUUCAAGUAUCGUAACUUCAUAUAUUUUCAAUUGAACAUGCAUGGUUCUAAUUUUCGAUCCAUCGAAUUUAUAUACUGUCAAUGCAAUCCUUUAAUUACUGGAUUUAACGACUACUGUUAUAAUAUCAUGCCAGCUAGUCAUUUCCACAUAAUUCGCACAAAAAGAGGCUUGAUUUAAUUAAUGGAUUUAACGACUACUGCUUGGGUUAAGAUAGAGAUAUCAAAAGUCAAAAAAUGAUCUAAUUGGAGAAUAGGAACUAAACCUACAACUUACCGAUACUAUGAGAUUGAUAACAUAAUUUAAUCUACCCUACAGUUUAUUUGGGCACUAGGAUUUCAAAUUUUAAAAAUUAGAUACAAUAAUCGUGGGGGGAGAUGUAGAGGGACAAGGGACGGGUAAAUUUUUAUUUUUUAUCAUAACAUAUUUAUUUACUUUAAUAUUAAUAUAAAAUUAUUUUUAAUUAAAUUUUAAUGGGGUUUUGACUUUAGCAAUCCCAUUAGUUAAAACUUUAUUUUAAUGGCACUAACUACGGGUACCAACUCCAGUAACAGAAUCAAAGUUUAGGUAUUCGGAUUGGUCAAAAAAUAGUUUUAGUACCAAUGUCAAACAAAGCAAAUAGUUCAAGGGCCUCCUAUUCAAUUAAGCCUUUAAUAAAAUAUCAAAUUAAAGAGAAGGAUGUUGGUAAAUGUGCUCGUAUUAUUGUAAACAUUUACAUAUUUUCUAUGCAUUUGAACGAUGAAUAAAUAAAUAAAGUUAAUUUCACAUUUCACUUUUGUAUCUUGUGUUUCUGUCUUCCAUGUUUUACUUACGUAUCGAAAUUGUAACAAGCAAAUGUUAGCUCAUUGAUUGUCUAAGUUGAAACCGAUGAUAAGUGUGGCACUAUAAGAAUGUUUACAUUUCCAGAAAGAUAAUUUACUUCUAUUGAUAAUCUAAACGAGUCAGUAAUCCCGUAAAAGAAUCAAAGUGAGCAUUUGAUUCAAAUAUUCAGAAGCAUUAUUAGGUCGUCUAUAAUUCUAGUUAGGGAUAUGAUUAGUGUUGGUUGUCCGAGCAGUUGAAUCCACCGGUAGAGACAUAAAUGUAUUGCUUUGAAGAAUGAGACAUUAGACUGAACCUAAGAUGGAUCAAUUCACUUGUGACGUUCAUGGUUUGACUUACCUAAAUCCUGAGUUAGUCACUGACCAUGCGUAUGUAACUCAUGUGCUUUGAUAUUAGUGUAGUCUUAUGCUAUUAACAUGACCGAGUCGAUAGCCAAUAUGUUGGGUACAUGACUUGAGUUUGGCAUUGCUUUACUAACAACAAUGAAAUCCAUAGCUCGACUAAGAGUUAACGAUAUCCUCUUCUUGAUAUUGUUUGGAUUGAUUAAAUGGAUUUGGCCACGGGGUUGCUUAUUCUCGAACGAGUAAUUUGUCAGAGUCACUAGUUGGCAUUGAUCAUAUUAACAGUUAAGAAGACACAACGAUGACGAUAAGAUAAAAUAUGAUUUUAUUGAGUGAAUAAAUCUAACUUAAAGGACUCAAUGAUAUCAUAUGAGAUCAUUAGACAAUGUAGUUGGAUGAAUUGCUUUCAUAAAGAGUAAACAAUAAGUAGUUUUCAAUCGCGGUACUACAUGUGGACUGACUUCAAGAUUAAGUAAAUUGUGAAUUAUCUGAACGAAGCUUCUGGACAUAAUUGCAUUUACUCGAGCCUAAUUGUAUAUGUCCAAUUCGUCCCUCUGCUAGCUCAACAAAAGCUCAAUCGGACUGCAUUUGAAUCAAAAGAAAAUUCUAUGACUUUGGAAAUAAUUUAAUUGAGUCGAUUUAUUCAGGAUAACUAUUAUGCCUCCUUUAUUAGAAACACAUUGAGUUCGACUUACUCUCUCACUAUCGGAGAUAACAUACACAUACAAACAUCCAACCAUUUAGUGAUUUCUUUUUUCACUACCUCCUCCAUAGUUGGUUUAACUGAUAUUACGCAUCAACAAUUGGCUUCUUACCUUAUUCCAGCAAAAGUUAAAAAAAUAUAAAUUAUAAAAAUAAAAAACAAUCUAAUUAGAGAAUAGGAACCAAAUCCACAACUAACACAUAGUACGAGACUAAUAGCUUAAUUUAAUCUAACAAAUUUAACUUCUAUUGUUUAUGCAAGUACUAGAAUUUCAAAUUAAAAAAGUAGAAUAAUUAAAAUUGAUCAGAUAAAAGUAAAAGGACUAAAUCCACAACUAAUGUAUGGUAAAAAGAUUAAUAAAAAAAAGUCAAUCGUAUGAAUUAGGGUUUAUUUUUUAAGUUUACGAGCACAAUUACUAAGGUGUGGAUAAAAAUAAUAGCCAAUUAUUUGUAAUUUUUUAUUACCUACAAGUUCUUGUAUAAAAAUAUUAUUUUCAAUUAAUUAUCAAAAAAAGGAAAAUGUUAAUAUAUGGUAAGUAUAUCUAAAUUAAUGGAGCUAUUAUUAUCUUGCCAUAGGUGACGUAUAGAGCAUAGUGCAAAAUCUUCUAUAUGAUUUUUCUCUUCCUACAAAAUUCGCAAGUAUAUCUUCACCUACCAAGUCAUAACUUUACUGCAAUAUUAGGUUAAAGAAAUUCCAAGAAAUUCAACUAUAAAUGGCCAAAUGCAUGUCAUUUUUUGUAUAUCAUCAGCUUGUUAUCAUAUAACUAACUCUUUGUUUCAUCUCUCAAUAGCUUUCAUUUUAAACUAUGGCUUCUUUCGGCGUGGUUUCUCUUUUUGCGGUUUUGCUUGUGGCUUCUUGUUAGUAUCUAAAAUAUUUAUCCUGUUCGAUAUUUAAUUAUUACAUACAUAUAUAUACAUGUAACUUUUUUAGUAUAAAAGCGAUUGCAGUAUUAAAAUAAGGGAGGGGUUGCAAUCGUUGCGAUUCAAAUCCUAUGUGUCUUAAACUUAUAUAUAAUAGGUAAUAUAAUAUAACUAACAAAAUUUUUAAAUGAUGAAAAAUUUGUUGUUUAAUUUGCAGGUGUAUCAAACUCAGAAGCAUGCACUCGUGACAUAGACUGUUUGGGCCAGUGUAAACAUGGUGGUUUUUGUGACUUGACAACUAAAAAAUGUAGUUGCUUGCCGGUGUCGGGGCAGCUACCAUCUAACAUUGCAGCAACAGCGGACGCUAUGCAGCGAUGACGAAAACUGCAAAGGAUUGCCCACCAGCUUGUUAAGCCCAUAACAUUCAAGGUGGCAUUUGUGUCUGCAAACGUUGUGCCUGAAGAAAAAAGAAAAUCCGAACAAAAAACUCUAAAUUUAAGCCUUUCGACAAUGCCAUAUAUUUUAAGAUAAACUUUGUAUCCAAAAAAUUGGCAAAUAAAUUAUUAAUGAAUAAAAAGGUUGUCAAAGAGAACUUAUUU